rnacentral:rRNA from 1 species
AGUGAACGCUGGCGGUAGGCCUAACACAUGCAAGUCGAACGGCAGCACAGUAAGAGCUUGCUCUUACGGGUGGCGAGUGGCGGACGAGUGAGGAAUACAUCGGAAUCUACUUUUUCGUGGGGGAUAACGUAGGGAAACUUACGCUAAUACCGCAUACGACCUACGGGUGAAAGCAGGGGAUCUUCGGACCUUGCGCGAUUGAAUGAGCCGAUGUCGGAUUAGCUAGUUGGCGGGGUAAAGGCCCACCAAGGCGACGAUCCGUAGCUGGUCUGAGACGAUGAUCAGCCACACUGGAACUGAGACACGGUCCAGACUCCUACGGGAGGCAGCAGUGGGGAAUAUUGGACAAUGGGCGCAAGCCUGAUCCAGCCAUACCGCGUGGGUGAAGAAGGCCUUCGGGUUGUAAAGCCCUUUUGUUGGGAAAGAAAGGCAGCAGGUUAAUACCCCGCUGUUCUGACGGUACCCAAAGAAUAAGCACCGGCUAACUUCGUG